CCUGGCUCACGAUGAACGCUGGCGGCGCGCCUAGCACAUGCAGGUCGAACGAUCGAGAGAGAGCUUGCUUUCUCGAGCGAGUGGCGAACGGGUGAGAAACGCGUGAGGAACCUGCCUCAUAGAGGGGGACAACAGUUGGAAACGACUGCUAAUACCGCAUAAGCCCACGGUGCCGCAUGGCACAGAGGGAAAAGGAGUAAUCCGCUUUGAGAUGGCCUCGCGUCCGAUUAGCUAGUUGGUGAGGUAACGGCCCACCAAGGCGACGAUCGGUAGCCGGACUGACAGGUUGAACGGCCACAUUGGGACUGAUACACGGCCCAGACUCCUACGGGAGGCAGCAGUGGGGAAUAUUGCACAAUGGGGGAAACCCUGAUGCAGCGACGCCGCGUGUAGGAAGAAGGUCUUCGGAUUGUAAACUCCUGUUGUUGGGGAAGAUAAUGACGGUACCCAACAAGGAAGUGACGGCUAACUACGUGCCAGCAGCCGCGGUAAAACGUAUGUCACAAGCGUUGUCCGGAAUUACUGGGUGUAAAGGGAGCGCAGGCGGGAAGACAACGUGGAAGUGAAAUCUAUGGGCUCAACCCAUAAACUGCUUUCAAAACUGUUUUUCUUGAGUAGUGCAGAGGUAAGCGGAAUUCCCCGGUGUAGCGGUGAGAUGCGUAGAUUCGGGAGGAACAACAGUGGCGAAGGCGGCCUACUGGGCACCAACUGACGCUGAGGCUCCAAAGUGUGGGUAGCAAACAGGAUUAGAUACCCUGGUAGUCCACACCGUAAACGAUGAUUACUAGGUGUUGGAGGAUUGACCCCUUCAGUGCCGCAGUUAACACAAUAAGUAAUCCACCUGGGGAGUACGACCGCAAGGUUGAAACUCAAAGGAAUUGACGGGGGCCCGCACAAGCAGUGGAGUAUGUGGUUUAAUUCGACGCAACGCGAAGAACCUUACCAAGUCUUGACAUCCCUUGACAGACAUAGAAAUAUGUAAUCUCUUCGGAGCAAGGAGACAGGUGGUGCAUGGUUGUCGUCAGCUCGUGUCGUGAGAUGUUGGGUUAAGUCCCGCAACGAGCGCAACCCUUAUGGUCAGUUACUACGCAAGAGGACUCUGGCCAGACUGCCGUUGACAAAACGGAGGAAGGUGGGGAUGACGUCAAAUCAUCAUGCCCUUUAUGACUUGGGCUACACACGUACUACAAUGGCGUUAAACAAAGAGAAGCAAGACCGCGAGGUGGAGCAAAACUCAGAAACAACGUCCCAGUUCGGACUGCAGGCUGCAACUCGCCUGCACGAAGUCGGAAUUGCUAGUAAUCGUGGAUCAGCAUGCCACGGUGAAUACGUUCCCGGGCCUUGUACACACCGCC
rnacentral:rRNA from 1 species